rnacentral:tRNA from 1 species
UGCGCCCGUAGCUCAGCGGAUAGAGCAGGGGACUUCUAAUCCCAAGGCCGCAGGUUCGAAUCCUGCCGGGCGCGCCCA